GGUUCCCCUACGGCUACCUUGUUACGACUUCACCCCAGUCAUGAAGCAUACCGUGGCAAGCGGCCUCCUUGCGGUUAGCCUACCUGCUUCUGGUAUCCCCCACUCCCAUGGUGUGACGGGCGGUGUGUACAAGACCCGGGAACGUAUUCACCGCAGUAUGCUGACCUGCGAUUACUAGCGAUUCCGACUUCAUGCACUCGAGUUGCAGAGUGCAAUCCGGACUACGAUCGGUUUUGUGAGAUUGGCUCCGCCUCGCGGCUUGGCUACCCUCUGUACCGACCAUUGUAUGACGUGUGAAGCCCCGGUCAUAAGGGCCAUGAGGACUUGACGUCAUCCCCACCUUCCUCCGGCUUGUCACCGGCAGUCUCAUUAGAGUGCCCAACUGAAUGAUGGCAACUAAUGACAAGGGUUGCGCUCGUUGCGGGACUUAACCCAACAUCUCACGACACGAGCUGACGACAGCCAUGCAGCACCUGUGUUACGGCUCCCGAAGGCACUCCUCCGUCUCCGGAGGAUUCCGUACAUGUCAAAACCGGGUAAGGUUCUUCGCGUUGCAUCGAAUUAAUCCACAUCAUCCACCGCUUGUGCGGGUCCCCGUCAAUUCCUUUGAGUUUUAAUCUUGCGACCGUACUCCCCAGGCGGUCGAUUUCACGCGUUAGCUUCGCUACCAAGCAGUCAGGCUGCCCAACAGCUAAUCGACAUCGUUUAGGGCGUGGACUACCAGGGUAUCUAAUCCUGUUUGCUACCCACGCUUUCGGGCAUGAACGUCAGUGUUAUCCCAGGAGGCUGCCUUCGCCAUCGGUAUUCCUCCACAUCUCUACGCAUUUCACUGCUACACGUGGAAUUCUACCUCCCUCUGACACACUCUAGCCACCCAGUUCAGAACGCAAUUCCCGGGUUGAGCCCGGGGAUUUCACAUCCUGCUUAAGUAACCGUCUGCGCCCGCUUUACGCCCAGUAAUUCCGAUUAACGCUCGCACCCUACGU
rnacentral:rRNA from 1 species